CCUCCGGGCGUCCGGGAAACUAAGCCCCGCCUCACCUGGCCGGUGUCGGGGCUGAGGCUUGAGGAUGUACCUCACCCCAUUGAUAAGGUUAUGCCACCAGGGACUCAGCAGUUCUCUCAUAAGGACAUUGCCCUUUGAAGAACAGAGCGUGGAUGAUUCAAUUACUUGCCUAUCCACUUCACAUUGAAAGUUCUGGAGCUGCACAUUCAUAUCCAAGAAUGAUAUGGAAAGACAUUAAGAAGCAGUUCUCUGAAGUCUAAAAGUUUGAAUGUCCCAAAAUAGCACGAGGGGACUCACUAAAGUGAAUGGACAUCUGCACAUCUGAGGAAAGGUCCAGUCUCUGAACAGACACCAAUAAAGGGCUGAGAAGAAAAAACCACCAGAGACAGCUGACUGAAGUGGGAAGUGACUUUUAUGUAGUCAGGCCUGGGUUCAAAUCUUGACUCUUUCAGACUCUCUGGGAUUUAGACAAUUAAAGUAAGCUCACUUUCUUUAAUUAGUCAAAAUGUGAAACGGAAAUAAUUCUGGUUCAAAUAACAUUUAUUAAAAUAUUCCUAAGUACCAGAUAAGCCGUAUAUAACUAGAGAGCCAAAAAGGGCUCAGUUUGAUGCAUUUUCAUGAAUAGAUUACCACAGGGACAAGGCAGUUUAGAUGUGGCUCUGUAGCUAUAAGAUGACAAGUACUGGGCCUCCCUGGUGGCGCAAGGGGUUAAGCACUGCACUAUGAAGCAAUCCACAGCCUCUGCAGCACAAGUUUGAUCCCUAGCCAGCCAGGGAAAAACCCACAUGGUGGGGCAGACCUCUCCUGUGUUGCCCGCUG